CUGGGUUGAGCCUGUUGGGUCAUUUUGUUGGGUUAUUUUCUUAGUGUUGGGUCAUUUUUUGAGUAACCCAAACGCUGGGUUACCAGUCGGGUCCAAUUGAGUGACAGUUGAGAGAGUAAACCCCUCCCACUCCUCUACGCAUCAGACAAACUUUACCUUCGCGGGCAUUUUGAUCCACUUCAUCUCGGAAAGCUCUUAUUCGGAGAAUAAAAGGUUGCAGAAUAACAGCUAAUAUUAAUGGAUCAUUCCAUUCAAGAGAAAGUCAACUGGAACGUGGAUGUUUUCAUAACAGGCUUAAAGAUGAACAAAUUGAUAAAGAAACCCUCCUGCUGGACAUCCACUUCCAAAAGUGCACACCACACUGUUGUCUACAACUCCUAGGAAAAGAAUCCUCUUAAGUAAGACUGCUCCGUGGAUAUGUCAGGUUAAGCAGUGCUGAAACCGAAAGAACUAACACUAUUUAAAAUGUUUUGUGAGUUUAUAUGAAGAGGAAAGUUACGGUGUCCCUUUUUCACAUCCAUAACGCUUGUUUAUUUCUUUUUUUAUAGAAAACUUGUGCAUAGACUUAUAUUUUAACAUAUAAAUGCGGUUCUAUUAACAAGGGUUUAGUAAAAUACUUUUUAUAGCGUUUUGAAGUGUUAAGUUGUCUAACUAUUUAUAUUUACUUGUGCCACUUUAAUAACCUUGUUAAAUGUAUAUGUUAAAAUCUAAACUAAUGUAAUUUAUUGAAAUUAAUGUUCUUUAAAUAUGUAUAAACAUACAUUUCAUCAAAGUGUUUUAUAUGCCAUUUUAUUGUUCAUUGAGCAUAACAUAUUGCAUGUUUUUAUGAAUUCCUUUUGUCUUGCAUUUUGAUCCUUAAUAAAACUAUUGAUUCUUA